rfam:Ixodes scapularis strain Wikel colony gcontig_1108379354294, whole genome shotgun sequence.
CCCUGGUUAGCUCAGUUGGUAGAGCGCUCCACUUGUAAUGGAGAGGUCCCGGGUUCGAUACCGGACCAGGCG